rnacentral:lncRNA from 1 species
GCAAGUAUUUCAAGUGUGGCCUACCAGGACAUCUUAUCCGGGAGUGCCCGACAUGGACGUCGUCUGCGCCGACGGCGGCAUCAGCACCGUCUACCCCGAGACAGCUUGCGGGGUUACCACCAGCGAUGUCGGCUGGGCGCGCAUCAUCACCGCGUCAGCCAGAGGGAUCGAGAGCGCCUAGCGGCAGAGUCUUUGCCGCUCAGGUGGAGGAGCAACAACCUGCAGCACCCGACGACGUCGUGGCAGGUAUAAUUGUGAUUAAAGGCACUAGAGCUAGAGCAGUGUUUGAUACAGGCGCAUCUCAUUCGUUUAUUAGCAC